UACGAAGGGUGCAAGCGUUAAUCGGAAUUACUGGGCGUAAAGCGUGCGCAGGCGGCUUUGCAAGACAGAUGUGAAAUCCCCGGGCUUAACCUGGGAACUGCAUUUGUGACUGCAUGGCUGGAGUGCGGCAGAGGGGGAUGGAAUUCCGCGUGUAGCAGUGAAAUGCGUAGAGGUGUGGAGGAACACCGAUGGCGAAGGCAGCCCCCUGGGCUGAGAUUGACGCUCAGGCACGAAAGCGUGGGGAGCAAACAGG
rnacentral:rRNA from 1 species